UUAAGUUCAGCGGGUAACCUCGUCUGAUCUGAAGUCAAGUGCGAAAUUCAUUCGGCAGGUUGCCCUCCGGACCCGGGACAGGUAGUGUUCACUAUGUCCAAGCCGCGGCGGCCUCCGCCAUCGGAUUGCGGGGACGGCGCGAGCCGCUCCCAUCACCAAGCGUUGCUUGAGUACUUUAUGACGUUCAGACAGGCGUGCCC
rnacentral:misc_RNA from 1 species